UUGGACACCCUAGCACCAGUCAGUCAGGAGAGGGUGCGCGAAUCUGCAUUGCCGUGGCCUCUAGGGUAUCUCGGGAUCGCCUCCAAACGCUUUUUCCGAGACAGGCAUCUUGCGGCCCUGGCAACUCAGUCCUCCCUAAGGUCAUAGGCCACAGCAAUCAACCCACAAGUCCCGAUGGGCCCUGGGGGGGACGCGGCGAGGCCCGGGCGCUUCUUCGGCGUCUAUCUGCUCUACUGCCUGAACCCUCGGCACCGGGGUCGCGUCUACGUGGGGUUCACCGUCAACCCUACUCGUAGGGUCCAGCAGCACAACGGGGGCCGCAAGAAAGGAGGGGCCUGGCGGACCAGCGGGCGCGGGCCCUGGUAAGAGGGAGUGGAUUGCUGUCUGGAGCAGGGCUUCCAGGGAGAGGCGAGGCUCUGAGGAGAGGCCUGCCGAGAGGGGCGGGGCCAAGCCAGUGACAGUAGGCGGAGCCGGUGCGGUGGCUGAGAGCAGGGCCGGGAUGCGAGUUCCUGGUGCAAUGGCACCAAGGGUGGAGGAGCACGGUGGGGAGGCGGAGCCCUGUGAAACUCGGCUGUGAGACUAAGAGGCAGGGAUUGAGUGAGAAGGGGACUGAGGAUCUAGGGUUGGUCCGGUGACAGCGGCUGAUGAACAAGGCUGGGGUUGUAUCAGAGAGAGUCUGCAAGGGAGAGGACAGGGGGAGGGCAGGAGGCGGGGCCUGUGCUGGAGGCGGGGCCUGAGGUUGGCAGGUGUGAGAGGAUGCACCUUCGCGAAGGGGGCGGGGCCUCGCGGACUAGGCUCGAAGCCUGGCAUGAGGACUUCACUCUCAGGUAGGACUGGGGGUGAAUCAUGGCGAGGGGGUUCAGCUUGACGCGGGGUGAGGCGGGGGGCUCACAGGCCGCGCCCUCGUUCUUUUCCCCAGGGCGAUGGUGCUUAUCGUGCACGGCUUCCCUUCCGCCGUGGCCGCCCUUCGGGUAAGAAAGGAGACGGGGACGGUGGGAGAAUGGGCUGGGGCUUCGGGCCUUCCCCUGGCGGCCCCCUUCCUGGGGCGUCCCUGAAGCCCCUACUCUCCGCCCGCAGUUCGAGUGGGCCUGGCAGCACCCGCAAGCCUCACGCCGCCUGGCUCACGUGGGCCCGCGCCUGCGCAGCGAGGCCGCCUUCGCUUUCCACCUGCGCGUGCUGGCACACAUGCUGCGCGUGCCGCCUUGGGUGCGCCUCCCGCUCACCGUGCGCUGGCUGCGCGCCGACUUCCGAUGUGACCUCUGCCCACCGCCACCGCCGCACAUGCCGCUGACCUUUGGGCCUCCGCCGCCCCGCGCCGCGGCCCCGAAGCGCCGCGCCGGACCCUUAGCUGACCUGGAGUCCGAGCCUGACCAAGAUGCCGAGUCCUGCUGCGCCCUGUGCGCGCGCUCCUUCCAGGUGAGCGGCUCCACCUGGCCUUCAGGGUUCAGACGACUUGGGAUCCAGCUGUUUAUUGAGGGACCGGGCAGCCCACUGACACCUUUUGUCCUCGUUUCUCAAAUGGGGAUGAGCCUACUUGCUGCCAUUCCUCAGAAUCAGUACCCUCCUGCUCAGGGCCUGUGCCUUUCCCCUUUGACUGUAAGGCUCUUCCCUAGACUUUCGGUCUUUAUAAAGUGCCACCUUCCCCUGCUCCAUGAAGUCUUCCUCGGCUCUCCAUCUAAAACUGCAAUUCUUUCUUGUACACUUCCUUGCCUUUUUUUUUUUUUUUAACCUAAACACUUAUUGUUUAACAUGCUAGGUGUUUUAUUCAUCUUGUCAGUUUCUCCCACCGCCCAUACAAGGCCAGGUCUUGUUCACUGCUGUAGAAAAGGGUCUGGAAGACAGACAAUACAUAUUUAACAGAUUAACUGAAAGGAUGGGCCUGACUUCUUCGGAGCUCUCAGGAAGUGUAAAUUGAGUACCUGCCAUUCAGAGAUUAAGUGACCUGCCUGAGGUCGGUUAGCUGGAAGAACUAUAGGUGUGGCUGCAGUGGCCAUGCUGUUUAUAUAAUCACUGCCCAUGGGGCGGCGGGGUGGCUCAGUCGGUCAGGCGUCCGACUUCAGCUCAGGUCAUGAUCUCGCGGUUUGUGAGUUCCAGCCCGGCGUUGGGCUCUGUGCUGACAGUUCGGAGCCUGGAGCCUGCUUCGGAUUCUGUGUCUCUCCAUCUGUCAGCCCCUCCCCUGCUCAUGCUCUGUGUCUGUCUCUCAAUAAUAAAUAAACGUUAAAACAAUUUAAAAAAUAUAUAAUCACUGCUCAUGCUGAGAGGAAACUGAUUAGCUUGGUCUCUGUGGGCAAGUGCUGUAACCUCUCCGUGCUUCAGUUUCAUCUAUAAAAUGCAAAUAGCAGUAGUAUGUGCCUCACAGGAUUGUUUAAUGCAAAGCCCCUGGAACAGUAUCUGGUCCAUAGAAAUUCUGAGUGUUUAGCUACGUCAUUCCUCCCGCUUUUCUCUCUUAACCUGCCUGCCACGUCUGACAGGACGAAGAGGGCCCCCUGUGCUGCCCCCACCCUGGCUGCCGCCUCAGGGCCCACGUGAUCUGCCUUGCAGAGGAGUUCCUGGAGAAGGAGCCAGGGCAGCUUCUGCCCCUAGAGGGUCAAUGCCCUGGGUGAGUCCAGCACCCCUGCCCCAGCCUGGCCUACCUUUGGGAGGAUGGUGUCGGUUGUCCAAGUCCAGGCCCAGGGCAGCCGAGUCCUUAUCUUGGCACUCAGGGCCUAGCCUGGAAGAGGCUUGUGAUCCUGACUGUGUCUCCUACCAACUGCACCCCUUGGUAGCUGUAAGAACUCACUGCUGUGGGGAGACCUGAUCUGGCUGUGCCAGAUGGGCACCGAGGAGGAAGAAGAGAACUUGGAAUUAGAAGAGGUGAGAGGUGGCUUUGGCCCCAGCCUCCCCCUCCCCCGCCCCACCCCCCCAGGCUGCCUUUGACCGGUCUUCUUGUUUCCACAGGAACACUGGACAGACAUGCUGGAGACCUGAUCCUCCGCCCACUGCUUGUUUGUGCCACUCCUGUGGGUCUGGGCGGUUUUUACUUGAGCACAAUAAAGAGUCUUGAGUUAACGGAACCUCCUGGUGUUUGCUGGGGGCUGGAGGCAGAGGCCCUGCCAGUCACUGGGGCCUGAAGAGAAGAGCAGAGGCAGGGAGAGGCUGCUGGCCUGUGUGGAUGAGCCUCUCCUCUUUCUGGAGGCCCGGGUGCCUCAGCUGUCCCUAGCACGCUUCUGACAUCACACAGUGCUUUGCUUGGGGGACACACUCUUGACUCACAGCCCAUCCAAAUCCAGUGCCCAGCUUGACUCUGGACUUUAAUACAAAUAGGAAGGACAGAGGCCAAGAGUGCGGUGGAAGGGGGAGGGGGAUACUCUACCCCCAUGGGGCCCCGUGGCUCUCUAAGCCCCAACUCCUUCUUGUCUCUGUCUGCAGAGCCCCUUCAGACCCAGUGAGAGAAAAGCACCUUCUGGGGGCCAUGGUUCUUUUACCAACCAUGAAUGAAUCUCCAUGAAAUCCCUUGGGAAUCAUGAAGCUGGACUCACUCCCAGGGUUAUUAGACUCAGCAUUCUUCCUCCCUUUUCUGCUCCACCCCACACUCUGUCACACCGCCCACCCACAUUGCUCUGUACUGGCCUUGCUGUCAGAGGUCAAGAGUAACAGUUUUUAGAAUCCCUGGGCUGCUGGGGGCCUGUGUGGCACCCCCGGCCUGAACCUUUGGCAUCUCCAAGACUGGCCUGGAGCCAGCCAGGAAGGUGAGCGACCCUGCUCUCGGGAGUGUCCCAUUUUUCCUCUCCACCCUGCCCCCUCUCAACUGGCUGGAUCCAUUAGAAAAAGCUGUUGGUUGGCCCGCCCUGCAGGGGUGGAGUUUGGAAGGCAGGUCAGGAGCCAGGAUUACAGCUCAAAAAACCCCCAAAAGACAAAAAUGAAAGCUUACUGGGCCCUGUUGUCUAGAUUCACUCUUAUUUUCUGCAUGCUAAACCCGUAUCUUGGAUUUUCGGGUCAGUCUAAGCUUGGCUCUGGCUAAGGUGCUGAGGAGGGGAGCACAGGGGGGCCCUCCCACUCUAAACUCCACCCUUUCCUUCCUGGAGGACGGCCAGAUCCCAGUGCUGGCUCCAGAGACCUCCCACUUUGGACUUAGAAACGCUUCAGCUCAGAAAGCAGUUCUGUACUCCCCACAACUGCACAAAGGAGCCACAAGGCCAAGAUCCAGAGAGGUGCGGUGAGUGCUGGGGUGGGCUGGGCUGGGCUGGGCCAGACCUCCCUCACUUGGUGUUGCUAGCUCCUCUCUCUCCAGAUCCUCUCUCUCUGCUGCCGCCUCUGAUGGCAUGGCAUCCUUGUGCCUUCCCUCGGGAAAGCAGUCUGCCAACUGCAACCCGGUCCGAAACCCCCUUCCGUGACUCCUCUCUUUUGCUCAUCUACAUCUCAGACUUUAGCCCCUAAAAGCAGCUCAGUUGCUCAGCUGGCUGUGUUUAUCUCGGAGCCAAGAUGGAGUGUGGUUGGACAAGUGGGGUCACAGGCUGGCCUUUGGGAUGUUUCCACAUGUGAGGGGCCCAAGGAGCUCCAGGGGACGACAGGGCGAGGAGGCCAGUGCAGUAGGCCAGGGGCUGAAGCAGGAAGUAGUAUGAAAAAGAAAACAGGUGGGGACUUAGGACAGGCAGCCUCUAGAGUAGUUUUCUCAAGUGCACACUGGAAUCUGGAGAGUUUCCCAAAAACUGGGAUUGGGCCCCCAGAGUGAUUUAACUGGUUUGGGGUGUGGCCCCAAGCUCUGGGAUUUUUCAGGCCCUUCAGGUGAAGGUGCAGCCGGCGUUGUGACCCUCUGCAGGUUACGUGUGACUUUGGACCCCAGCCCCCGCCGCUCGCUAGCCUUGUGAGUGGGGGCAAGUCACCCAGCCUUCAGUCCCUUUUCUUAAAGCAAAGGUUUCAGUAGAUGGCAUGUUGUGACGUUAAGGGAAGUAGGCUGCACUCUGGCCCCUGACGCAGCGGCAUGGAGCUGGUCCGGGACACCUCACGCCCGCCACUGCAGUACGUGAAGGGGAUCCCUCUCAUCAAGUACUUUGCCGAGGCACUGGGGCCACUGCAGAACUUCCAGGCCCAGCCCGAUGACCUGCUUAUCAGCACCUACCCCAAAUCGGGUAAGUGAUGAGGGCCACCCACCCCUCUCCUGGGCCACAAGUCCCAUGUUGGGCCAGCAGGGGGCCACCCGCAGCCCUGUCCGCCUCCUCUUUCCCUGCUCUCCAGGCACCACCUGGGUGAGCGAGAUCCUGGACAUGAUCUACCAACGUGGCGAUCUGGAGAAGUGUCGCAGGGCCCCCGUCUUUAUCCGGGUACCCUUCCUUGAGUUCAAGGCUCCAGGGAUUCCCACAGGUGUGCAGUAGGGCUCUAGGGCCACGUGGAACGGAGGGAGGAGGCAGGACUGGGCUCUAGCUCGGCAGACCUUUCCCCGCCCACGGCACAGGUAUGGAGGUUCUGAAAGACACACCGGCCCCACGAAUCAUCAAGACGCACUUGCCCCUGGCCCUGCUCCCUCAGACCCUGCUGGAUCAGAAGGUCAAGGUGAGUGGCAGAGGAAGCCAUCCCAGUUUUGGUCCUGAGAGGAAGGUCUCAUCUUAAGGGGGGAGGCUGUCUGCCCCAUCCUGUGGUAGAAGUCGGUGAAAGUGAGCCUCCUCUGUGCAGAGCUGUGAAAGGCAGUCUUCUCUGCAGGCCUCCCCAGGCCCGCAGAGGAGGGGGCUGGUGACAGUGGGGCACGCCUGGUUCCAAAUCUGGGUAUGGCGGCACUGAGGGGAUUAGAUUAGCAUCAAAUAGGGUUCCGGGGACACAAACAAGUCAGCCUCUAAGCCAGUUUCCCCUCUGGUCAGACCAGGGAUAACUUCCCUCGCAGGGAUGCUGUGAAAGGUGGAACAUCCAGUGCCUGGCUCACUGUGUGGUGGUGAUGCGUGGGUGUGUGUGUGGGGGGGGGGGGGGGUCGUCUGCCCCUCCAGGUGGUCUAUGUUGCCCGCAACGCAAAGGAUGUGGCUGUCUCCUAUUACCACUUCUACCGCAUGGCCAAGGUGCACCCUGACCCUGACACCUGGGACAGCUUCCUGGAGAAGUUCAUGGCCGGAGAAGGUGGGGCUCAAUCUGGAGGAAGGAGUGAGGUGGAGCUGAGCAGCGGUCAGUCAAAACUAAUGCCAGCUCUGUGUCCCUGCCCCUGCCCUUUCCCCAGUGUCCUACGGGUCCUGGUAUCAGCACGUGUGGGAGUGGUGGGAGCUGAGUCAUACCCACCCUGUUCUCUACCUCUUCUAUGAGGACAUGAAAGAGGUGAGGUCACCUGCUGCCACUUCUCUCCAGAGAGCCAAGAAGCCCACAGGGACCUGCCGAGGCCCUCUCAGCCACCUUCCCCAUGGCAGCCCCCACGUCAGUCCCCGGGACCCCUCCAGCCCGCCUUCCCGCCCGGGACAUGGAGCUGCGGUGCCACCCGGGGGGCAACACUGUAGGGCUCGUCUCAGACCGGAGCGACACCUCGCCACCCACUGGCCAUUUGCUGCUGCUGUUCUCCCUGGGGCCAGAGUUCUGAGAGACGACUGUCCCUGCCCUCACCUGUUGGGACCCAGGCAGAGCUUGUUACGGGGUCACAGGGCGGUGGCAGUUAAUGUGCCUCCAGGGAAGGCAGGCCCAAGGAGCUGGGGCUGGGAGGGCCGGAAGCGGAAGCGGCCAGGUCCCCCAAGGGGUUGGGAGGCCCCCUUUUGUUUGCUCAAUGAGCGAUCCCAACCUCUACUGAAGAGCCCCUCUGCUGCUCCAGAACCCUAAAAGGGAAAUUCAGAAGAUCCUGGAGUUUGUGGGGCGCACCCUGCCAGAGGAGACCGUGGAUCUCAUCACCCAGCAAACGUCUUUCAAGGAGAUGAAGAAGAACCCCAUGGCUAACUACACCACCAUACCCCCUGACAUCAUGGAUCACAGCGUUUCGGCCUUCAUGAGGAAAGGUGAGCGCCCGGGCGGCUGGCCGGGCGGGGAGGCAAGCGUGGAAGCAGAGCGAGAGCCGCCCGAGCCACCCGGGGCCGCCUCUGCCGCCAGGACGCACAGCCACGCUGCCCUUCUUCCUCGUGCCCACAGGCGUCGCGGGGGACUGGAAGACCACCUUCACCGUGGCCCAGAACGAGCGCUUUGACGCCCACUAUGCGGAGAAGAUGGCGGGCUGCAGCCUCCGCUUCCGCACGCACCUGUGAGUGGUGCUCCCCGAGGCACGCCCGCGGCCCCGCUGCUGUGACGCGGCCUGACCCCGGGGUCGAGAAUAAAAUCCUGUUUGUGUUAACACCCUGAGUCUCUAAUGCGAGCAA
rnacentral:lncRNA from 1 species